GCUGGGCGUGGUGGUGCUCGCCUGUAAUCCCAGCAGCUCCAGAAGCUGAGAGAGGAGAAUCACGGGUUCAAAGCCAGCCUCAGCAAAAGCGAGGUGCUAAGCAACUCAGUGAGACCCUGUCUCUA
rnacentral:sRNA from 1 species